rnacentral:rRNA from 1 species
AUUGAACGCUGGCGGCAUGCCUUACACAUGCAAGUCGAACGGCAGCGGACCUUCGGGUGCCGGCGAGUGGCGAACGGGUGAGUAAUAUAUCGGAACGUACCUUUCAGUGGGGGAUAACGUAGCGAAAGUUACGCUAAUACCGCAUAUUCUGUGAGCAGGAAAGCAGGGGGAUCGCAAGACCUUGCGCUGAUUGAGCGGCCGAUAUCAGAUUAGCUAGUUGGUGAGGUAAAGGCUCACCAAGGCGACGAUCUGUAGCGGGUCUGAGAGGAUGAUCCGCCACACUGGAACUGAGACACGGUCCAGACUCCUACGGGAGGCAGCAGUGGGGAAUUUUGGACAAUGGGCGCAAGCCUGAUCCAGCCAUGCCGCGUGAGUGAAGAAGGCCUC